rnacentral:rRNA from 1 species
AGCCCGCUACAGAAACUUAAAGGAAGUUGACGGGGGCCCGCACAAGCGGUGGAGUAUGUGGUUUAAUUCGAUGCAACGCGAAGAACCUUACCUGGUCUUGACAUCCCGGAGACCCUUAGGAAACUAGGGGGUGCUUCCAUCUGGAAGAAUCUGGAGACAGGUGCUGCAUGGCUGUCGUCAGCUCGUGUCGUGAGAUGUUGGGUUAAGUCCCGCAACGAGCGCAACCCUUGCCUUUAGUUGCCAGCAGUUCGGCUGGGCACUCUAAAGGGACUGCCGGUGUUAAACCGGAGGAAGGUGGGGAUGACGUCAAGUCCUCAUGGCCUUUAUGACCAGGGCUACACACGUACUACAAUGGCCGAUACAAAGGGCAGCGACACUGCGAGGUGAAGCCAAUCCCGUAAAAUCGGUCUCAGUCCGGAUUGGAGUCUGCAACUCGACUCCAUGAAGUUGGAAUCGCUAGUAAUCGUGGAUCAGCCAAGCCGCGGUGAAUACGUUCCCGGGCCUU